CCUGGCUGGAGUUGGGGGGGAAAUAUCUAGUAUUAAAUCUAUAGAAAUCAUAGGUACAAAAUUAAAACGGGAAGACUCCGCAAUGACUCUCUAAUCCAAACUUUCUUUUUAAAAAGAAGGAGUUGCGGUCCAAAGAGGCCAAUUAGCAAGUCCCCUGUCACAUAGCUGGCAUCUACGGCUGCGAAGCAGAGAACCAGCCCGCAGCGCUAAGGAAGCAAUAGUAAUUGCGUUAUUGGAGCAUAAUGAAAAUCCUUCUUUGAGGGACAGUUGAUGCUAAUUGGAUUUGUCAAAUGUAUGUGUCAGUUCGAAUAUGAAUUCCUGAUGACCCAUGGGAUCUCAGAGCAGCCUUGGGACUCAAGUCUGUCAAAAGCAACAACCUAUAAUAGCCAUGGUGCCAUCUCUGGAAAUAUUUUUCUACUAGUUGGUGACCAGGAGCAAGAAGGGCUGUUUCUAAAGAAGUGGUCCAG
ensembl:lncRNA